UACGGAGGGUGCAAGCGUUGUCCGGAUUUAUUGGGUUUAAAGGGUGCGUAGGCGGCUAAUUAAGUCAGCGGUGAAAUUCCACAGCUUAACUGUGAGAACUGCCAUUGAUACUGGUUGGCUUGAGUACAGAUGAGGUAGGCGGAAUUGACAGUGUAGCGGUGACAUGCUUAGAUAUUGUCAAGAACACCUAUUGCGAAGGCAGCUUACUAAACUGUAACUGACGCUGAGGCACGAAAGCGUGGGGAUCAAACAGG
rnacentral:rRNA from 1 species